GCCCCGGUGGCUCAUUGGUCUAAGCGCACGCACCAUAAAUGCGGAGACCCAGGUACGAUUCCGGCUCGGGUCA